CUUCCCCCUACAGGUGUUGCUGGUGUGGCUGCUGUGUCACAUGUGCAUCAGUACAUGACAGAGAGGAGAGAGGCUAUGUCUAUGCUCAGUGUUCUGACCUGUGAACAUCUGAAUGAUUAGUAGGCUAACAUU
ensembl:snoRNA LOC120101283 small nucleolar RNA SNORA17